UUGUCUGUGCUGAGUCUAAGACCUCGAUGAUCGAUUGGACCGGUUUCAAAUAUCAUUUGAAAGCCUUCUUUACUAUUCAUUUUGGGAAGUUUUCAAACUUUUGAUUUUGUGAAAUUGAGCUCAUUUGAUCAAAUCGAUUGAGCUGGCACCCAUUUGAUCAAAUCGGAGGAUCCGUUUGAACAAUCAGAGAUAUGUGAGAGAUUAAGCUUCAGGUCAUGGAGCAAGCCACUGAUGUAGAGAAAGCAACGGUUGUGUUUGACUUUCUUGAUUUCAAGCACAGGAACAAGAAUUUUACAGCAGCAUGUCAAACAUUCUCAACAUUCUCUAGGCACUCAUUGGUCUUAUAAAUGCUCUAAGGCAGCGGUUUGGAAAGGCAUAUCUAAUAUUGAUACUUGCAAUUGGAAGCAUGUUAUACCACGCUAUAUUG